rnacentral:rRNA from 1 species
AGAGUUUGAUCGUGGCUCAGAUUGAACGCUGGCGGCGUGCCUAACACAUGCAAGUCGAACGCGAAAGUGGAGCAAUCCAUGAGUAGAGUGGCAAACGGGUGAGUAACGCGUGGGCGACCUACCUUCGAGCGGGGGAUAACCUUCCGAAAGGAGGGCUAAUACCGCAUGACAUCCCGUGUUUAGAUACACGGAGAUCAAAGCCGGGGAUCGUAAGACCUGGCACUUGAAGAGGGGCCUGCGUCCGAUUAGCUAGUUGGUGAGGUCACGGCUCACCAAGGCUCCGAUCGGUAUCCGGCCUGAGAGGGCGGACGGACACACUGGAACUGAGACACGGUCCAGACUCCUACGGGAGGCAGCAGUGGGGAAUUGUUCACAAUGGGCGCAAGCCUGAUGACGCAACGCCGCGUGGAGGAUGAAGACCUUCGGUCGUAAACUACCUUUCGUACCCGAGAUGAAUUCCUUACGACCUAACACGUACCGUGAGGGUGACAGUAUCGAGGGAAGAAGACCCCGGCGUAACUCUGUGCCAGC